AUUUUUUUAUGAAGAGAAAAAUAACUAUGCUAACAAUCCCCGGCAACGGCGCCAAAAAUUGAUAGUCAACUUUAAAGACCACGCAAUAGCACGUAUCUGGUAGGAUAGUGAUUACGGGUAUCGAUCCACAGGGAUUGGGGUACAAUUAUUUUUCUUAAAAAUAAAAAUAUUUAAAAGGAAGAGUUUGUGAAGAAAAUUAAACUAAGAAAUUUAAUAAAA
rnacentral:lncRNA from 1 species